rnacentral:rRNA from 1 species
GAUGAACGCUGGCGGCGUGCCUAAUACAUGCAAGUCGAGCGAACAGACGAGGAGCUUGCUCCUCUGACGUUAGCGGCGGACGGGUGAGUAACACGUGGAUAACCUACCUAUAAGACUGGGAUAACUUCGGGAAACCGGAGCUAAUACCGGAUAAUAUAUUGAACCGCAUGGUUCAAUAGUGAAAGACGGUUUUGCUGUCACUUAUAGAUGGAUCCGCGCCGCAUUAGCUAGUUGGUAAGGUAACGGCUACCAAGGUAACGAUGCGUAGCCGACCUGAGAGGGUGAUCGGCCACACUGGAACUGAGACACGGUCCAGACUCCUACGGGAGGCAGCAGUAGGGAAUCUUCCGCAAUGGGCGAAAGCCUGACGGAGCAACGCCGCGUGAGUGAUGAAGGUCUUCGGAUCGUAAAACUCUGUUAUUAGGGAAGAACAAAUGUGUAAGUAACUAUGCACGUCUUGACGGUACCUAAUCAGAAAGCCACGGCUAACUACGUG